GUAUGUGGGGCCCAGAGCAAGGUUCCAGUGAUGGAGAGGAGCCAGGACUGGGGAUCAACUGUCAGUGUUUCUACAAGAUUGUGAGCCUCAGAAGUACAGAUAUUUUCUCUUGCUUUGCUCAUGACAUGUCUCGAGGACACAGAAGAGUCCCUGGUAUCGCUCUGGAAUUGUGAGAAAGGCUGACACAUACAUGGAGCGGCAAGAAGAAUCGAUGAAUUGGCUUCAACCCUUGCUCUACAACCCACAGGCAUAGGAUCACGGUCCGUUGGAGAACCAGCUCAGCUUCUCUGAAGCCCCAGCCAUCACUGCAGUCACGCAACGGGCAAGGUGCCCCUGCCAUCGGAUUCCCAGUCCCACGUGGAAGUUUGCAGAGUGUGCAGGUCUUUUAUGUUGUCCCGCCCCUACCAUAACUCUGGAUGACAUUCUGAUCUUCUCAAGAUGGGGCUCUGCUGAGCUGCCGAGGAAAUCAGCUUCAGUCAUUCGUCUACUUCUCCCGCAUGUGGUAUCAAGUGUUUGGGCUCCCAGGCACAGCUGCAGUGUCAGAGAUCCAGAAAGCCAUUAGUGUGAUGACAACAUGGGUGAUGAGAUGUCUCUGCCCCCUUCCUGAGGUUCUUUAGUUGGCUCUUCUGACCGAGCAUCGCUGGAGCUCCUGAUGUUUCACCCCAUGAAGCAGCAGUGUCCAGCAUCAUGUGAAAUGUGCUGUGUUCUCAGAGACGAUGGAUUACAUCACAGUGUCCUACAAGAGAAUGCCCGAGACCUUGGAUUCUGAUUCUUCCAGUCACUCAGAGGGAAUCUCGUCGUAGACAAGCCUGUUGGGAGCCGCGCCCACAUUCGCCGUUAC